GGUGUUUGAAUUACCUGACAGUUCUGCUCGUUCAAGUUUUUCUAAUUAUUUGUUGUCCAGUAUUUGAUCUUGUGGACAACUCUCUCUUUCUCUCUCUCUCCCGUAUCCCUUACGCUCUCCCCUUUCUUUCUCUUCAACAUUGCUGAAGAAGAUGAAAGAAAAGUUCUUCACCGAGAAAUGACAGGAACCGCAGGAAAAUCCAUGGUGAGUCGUAAUCAUGUGCUUUUCCGGCCAUUGUGAAAUAGAGCCCUCAGCCCCUCUUUCUUGCUCUAGAAAAAGUGCCACAGAUUAACCCACUCUCUGAUUCACUAAUCCCUGCUCCAUUCAUGCCCGAAAUCAUCGCUGUUUAAAUGGAAAAGAACUCAAAUUAGGCCGGAAAAUUAAUCGAAAUGGAAAGAUUUGAGAUGGGUUAUUCUUCUUUUGAUGCUUUGGAGGUGGGUUUUCAGCCUCUUUAGAGAGUUUUUUUAUCUGAACUGUAAUCGGAGAAGAGGUUUGCGUUGUUGUUGUUGUCGUCCGUGGCAAUCUUCUCUCUAGACAUACGGAAAUGAAAAUCCCAAUCACUACAAGAAAAAUCCAUGCUGUUUAGAGAGAGAGAAAUCGCAAUAUGGCGAGUUGGCUUUCAUGGGUGAGAUAGAAAGCACCGUGGAUUACAGGGAAGAGGAAGAAUUACGAGAGAGAGUGAUUCAUCAUUGAAUCAAAGUGUUAUAGAAGAACAGAAAGAGAGAAAAUGGAUUCACGGAUCAAGUAAUAGAGACCAGAGAGAGAAUGAGAUAGGCAGAGGACCCAGAGACCAGAGAGAGAAUGAGAUAGGUCAGAGGACCUUCGCACUAAACCUUUCUUAUUGGAAUGACAGUUGCCACGGAUGUGACAUCGACCCAAAAAUACACAUGACGCCGGUCAGGACUUUCUCUCUCCAUUGAAGGCCGUAAAAUGUUGUCUCGGCUCUUUAUUUGAACAUAAAGAGCUGGUAUUUCGAAC
rnacentral:lncRNA from 1 species